rnacentral:rRNA from 1 species
AUUGAACGCUGGCGGCAUGCUUUACACAUGCAAGUCGAACGGCAGCACGGGCUUCGGCCUGGUGGCGAGUGGCGAACGGGUGAGUAAUGCAUCGGAACGUACCGUGUAAUGGGGGGAUAACGUAGCGAAAGUUACGCUAAUACCGCAUACGCCCUGAGGGGGAAAGCGGGGGAUCGUAAGACCUCGCGUUAUACGAGCGGCCGAUGUCGGAUUAGCUAGUUGGUGGGGUAAAGGCCUACCAAGGCGACGAUCCGUAGCGGGUCUGAGAGGGAUGAUCCGCCACACGUGGGACUGAGACACGGCCAGACUCCGUACGGGAGGCAGC